rnacentral:rRNA from 1 species
AGAUUGAACGCUGGCGGCAUGCUUUACACAUGCAAGUCGAACGGUAACAGGCCGCAAGGUGCUGACGAGUGGCGAACGGGUGAGUAAUGCAUCGGAGCGUGCCCAGUCGUGGGGGAUAACGCAGCGAAAGCUGUGACUAAUACCGCAUACGAUCUAUGGAUGAAAGCGGGGGAACCAAGGCCUGCGCGAUUGGAGCGGCGAUGUCAGAUUAGCUAGUUGGUGGGUAAAGGCCCACCAAGGCGACGAUCUGUAGCUGGUCUGAGAGGACGACCAGCCACGACUGGAACUGAGACACGGUCCAGACUCCGUACGGGAGCAGCAGGUGGGAAUUUUUGGGACAAGUCGGGGCG